rnacentral:rRNA from 1 species
GCCAUGCGAAUCUAAGAUCAGGCUUACAACUUGAUAGCCAAUCUGUGGAUUGCUCAUUAAAAUGGUUGUAAUCCUAGCCACUGGAGAACAAUAUAAGGAUAACACUGUUAAAUGCAGCGAUAAUACUUGAAAUGGGGGCAAUCGAUUCCAUUUGAAUUGGAACGAUUGUAAGGUAUUGUCACACAACUAUACGGUGGUGUGUGAUGAUACAAGCCAACCGUUGGUAUCAAAAAGAGCGAAAACUCUUUUUCCGGUGGUCCAGUAGAGGGGCUUCCAAUCUAUCAGCUGAAGUUGUUAGCGUCAGGGACUAACAUGGCGACAACGGAUAGAGGGAAUUAGUGUUUGAACUCGAGAGGGAGCCUGAGAAACUGCUACCACAUCUAAGGACGGCAGCAGGCGCGCAAAUUGCCCAAUCUCAACAAAUGAGGAGGUAGUGACAAGAUAUAGUGACUUCACACUAUUAUGGUGGGAAGGUACUGUUUCGUGUAAACGUAACAGUUGAUCAUGAUUUGGGUGUAAACAACCUUUAGAGCAGCAAUUGGAGGAAAAGUCUGGUGCCAGCACCCGCGGUAAUUCCAGCUCCAAUAGCGUAUAUUAAUACUGUUGCGGUUAAAAGAUCCGUAAUCUGUCAAAGGAUUUGUUGUACGGCAAUAUAAAUUUUGAUCAAUCUUUUUGCAAUUUGAAACAUCGUAUUGCAAGAAUUUUGAUCAAUCUUGAAGCCAUGAUUCCCGAAUCAGGUGGCCGAAAGUCUCCUUAACUGGAGGGUGAGGCAAUUGCUGUACGAGGAAUUCGAUCCUUUUUUCCGCCGCGUGAGAAAAAAGGCUCCAAUCCAAACGCGUGGAGGGCAACCAUGAAUAAAUCGUUGCGCUUCAAGCAGGCUAUGCCAAAAUGUGGCUUGUACGAUUGAGCAUGGUAUUGCAUUAGAAACUGUAUUUUCACAAAUACGGUGUUCACAAUGAGGUUUAGGGUGAGGUUCCAGGAAUCACGAGGGAAGGGGUGAAAUCCAGUGAUCCUCGUGAGUCUAGCCGAGGCGAAGGCAGUUGUCAACCACCACAAACCUAUCGAUGAGGGAUUAAAGUUGGGGGAUCGAAGAUGAUUAGAUACCGUCGUAGUCCCAACUAUAAACGAUACCAACCGAGAAUCGGAUGUUGACACCAUUUUUAUUUGAUAAAAUAAAUUGAUCUUUUCGGAUCUCAUGAGAAAUCUGGAGUUUUUAGGUUCCGGGGGGAGUAUAGUCGCAAGGCCGAAACUUAAAGGAAUUGACGGAAAGGCACCACCAGAAGUGGAUUUUGCGGUUCAAUUCGACUCAACGCGGGAAAACUUACCAGGUCAGGACACGUAGAUGAUUGACAGGUUGAUAGCCCUUUCUUGAUUACGUGGAUGGUGGUGCAUGGCCGUUUGCAGUUCGUGGAGUGAUCUGUCUGGUUAAUUCCGAUAACGAACGAGAUCCAAACCUCUAAUUAGAUGUCCUUUUCUCCGGAAAGGGAACAAUUUUACAUCAACGUGUAAUUGGCUUCUUAGAGGGACCACUUUCAAAAAAAAGCGGAAGUUUUGGGCCAUAACAGGUCUGUGAUGCUCCUAGAUGUCCUGGGCGACACGCGUAAUACAAUAUCGGUAUCAACGAGUAUUCGUAUGGAUGAUUUUUGACAUCCGUACCUUUUCUGAAAAAGAAUGGGGAAACUAAAAAUACCGAUAUGACUGGGAUAGAGCAUUGUAACAUGCUCUUGAACGAGGAAUUUCUAGUAAGCGCAAUUCAUCAUAUUGUACUGAUUUCGUCCCUGCCUUUUGUACACACCGCCCGUCGCUCCUACCAAUUGAAUGAAGAGAUGAAGUUGACGGACCUUGGUGA